UGGGGAAUUUUGGACAAUGGGGGCAACCCUGAUCCAGCCAUGCCGCGUGAGUGAAGAAGGCCUUCGGGUUGUAAAGCUCUUUCAGUUGGGAAGAAAAGGCGGGCUCUAACAUAGCUUGCUACUGACGGUACCAACAGAAGAAGCACCGGCUAACUACGUGCCAGCAGCCGCGGUAAUACGUAGGGUGCGAGCGUUAAUCGGAAUUACUGGGCGUAAAGCGUGCGCAGGCGGUUCGCUAAGACAGGUGUGA
rnacentral:rRNA from 1 species